rnacentral:lncRNA from 1 species
UGCCCGGCCUAAAAUGUCAAAUAUUUAUUAAGUACUAUGAACAAGGCAAUUUGUAAGCAUUUUACAUGCAUUAACUUAUCAGAUUAACUCAAAGCAGCCCUAAGAUGUGGAUGCUAUUAUAAGUUCCAUUUUACAGACAAAGAAAAGGACAGACUGGAAGUUAAGCCUCAUGCAUAUGGUUCUGGCAAGUGAUGGAGCCAGGGUAUGAACCCGGGGACCCUUGUCUCCAGACCCUUAUUCUCACCCCAUUUGCAUUCCUGUUCAAAUAACUUGAGUUUAGGGAACUUGCCCGAGAUUACACGGCAGAAGGCCUGAGCUUUGGCCCUGGCCGUCACGUGGGCAGCACUUCACUGCACAUCUUCUCUGUGCUGACAUUGGCUUACUUGCUUUAAGCCCUGGAGUUGACCAGCUCUGGGAGAGAAAAGCCAUGAUAGAAAGGAGCACAAGGCUUGCUGGGCACCUGGGCCUAGAACCAUCCCCCCUCAUGUCCAGGGGAGCAGCCCAGUAACAUGAAAUGUGGGAAUUACCCUGACAGGUGGUUUCCUACUGCAUCUCAGAAGGACAAAGGGCAUAGGUAUUUUAGUUGCUUACCUGGGCUCUGUCUGGAUUCUCCUAAGAAGUAAUCAAGGAAUAAUCAAUGCAAUUACAUAAAAAGUUGCAAGAGCACAAAACUAGAGAAACUACUUAUCUAGCCCACCUAAUGUGUGAUUCUAGAAAGUUCCAGAACUGCAAAACUAGACACAUUUGCAGUCCUAAAAUCCCAACAUAAAUGCCACCUAUUUGAUGGAGGAGUCAGCUGAGACUUAAAGGAUAGAGGUGCUAAUGGUGGACUUCAAGACAUAUUGAGACAUGGUAGAGGGAGACGUGGGAAGCAGGGAGGUAUUUCAUUGCUUGCCAGAUUACCAUGAACAGGCAGGGGCUUUGGUGAUGGAUGAGCAGCUACAGGGUAGCAUGCUGCCUGUGCCAGGAGGGUCCCCGCUCCCUUUUCCCAGUCCCUCCUCCUCCCAUUCUCGGAUCAUUUCAUUUCACUACUCUCCUCCUUGUACCACAAUUUUAUUCUUCAACUCUUGCAUUUUGAAAGACCCCAACAUUCUUGUACAUUUUUGGCCCAUUUCUCCUAUGAGUAAAUUGUCUAAAUUUCAUACUUAAAAAAAACUAUUAAUUUAAAUAUCAAGGCAACUUAAAUAUUUACUGACUAGAAAAUAAUGAAGGCAACUCCAAUUUUAGAGUAUUUUUCAAAUUUCAAUGUUCCUUUCUGUCAUCAGAGAUUCAGAUAGACUUUGUAGAAAGAUCUGCACUUCUCCUCCCCACUGUACCCCAGUUGGGGAUUGUUUCCAGGACUACCUGCUGGCCUUUUUGAAAGCUUCUGCCAACAGAAGAUCUUCUAGGCUCCACAAACUCUGGAAGGGCCAUGAAUGGGACCUCUGGGCAAGCAAGAUAGCGGCCAUACUCCUCAUUGGCUCUCGUCUAGGCAGGUUAUUUAGCAAGGUCAUCUCCAUCAAUGCAAUGGGAAAUUAGAGGCCUCUGAGUCCCUCCCGAUGAGCUGUGGGGCACUGGGAGGGCCAGGCUCCCCCUCAAUGCUGGAGUCAGUCCACAGACCAUGGCUCAUAAAUACUGUUUUCCUCCCAGGGCCCUUGGCUGGUGUCCUGGGAGGGAGCACGGGGUGGUUGCUGCUUAGCUGGAGGAAAUUUGGAUGAGCUCAUUUGUCUGUGAUGAAGAGAGAACAGUAGAGGUCGUGAGGACUUGAGGAGGUGGCUCUGGAAGCUGGGGGGUCCAGAAGUAGAAAGAUCCUAGGCAGCUUGAGCCAUCUGGUGACCUGGUUCUGAGGGACAUUAGCUGAAUCAAUGGAGAAACUCCUCUUGAGGGAAUUUUGCAGGAAGAAGGCUGUCUUUGUUCUAAGAAUGCCUUGAACAAAGCUUCAGAGGAGGAGGUUGCCCUGCUUGACAGAGGAGAAGAAUGGUGCAUUUUGAUCCUAAAUGGAGAAAGGAGAGGGAAGGAAGAGGAGGAAAAAAACAGCGGGAAGGAGAGCAUGAUACUGAGAUGAGCUGAAAGACCAAUAAAGAAAUGCCACAAUGAGGUGUGGCUGGGGGCUCUUUUGA